UACGGGGGGGGGCAAGCGUUGUUCGGAAUUACUGGCGUAAGCGUGCGCAGGCGGUGAUGUAAGACCGAUGUGAAAAUCCCCCGGGCUUAACCUGGGAACUGCAUUGGUGACUGCAUUGCUGGAGUAUGGCAGAGGGGGGUGGAAUUCCACGUGUAGCAGUGAAAUGCGUAGAGAUGUGGAGGAACACCGAUGGCGAAGGCAGCCCCCUGGGCCAAUACUGACGCUCAUGCACGAAAGCGUGGGGAGCAAACAGG
rnacentral:rRNA from 1 species